GUCGAGCGGAUGAGAAGAGCUUGCUCUUCGAUUCAGCGGCGGACGGGUGAGUAAUGCCUAGGAAUCUGCCUGGUAGUGGGGGACAACGUUUCGAAAGGAACGCUAAUACCGCAUACGUCCUACGGGAGAAAGCAGGGGACCUUCGGGCCUUGCGCUAUCAGAUGAGCCUAGGUCGGAUUAGCUAGUUGGUGAGGUAAUGGCUCACCAAGGCGACGAUCCGUAACUGGUCUGAGAGGAUGAUCAGUCACACUGGAACUGAGACACGGUCCAGACUCCUACGGGAGGCAGCAGUGGGGAAUAUUGGACAAUGGGCGAAAGCCUGAUCCAGCCAUGCCGCGUGUGUGAAGAAGGUCUUCGGAUUGUAAAGCACUUUAAGUUGGGAGGAAGGGCAUUAACCUAAUACGUUAGUGUUUUGACGUUACCGACAGAAUAAGCACCGGCUAACUCUGUGCCAGCAGCCGCGGUAAUACAGAGGGUGCAAGCGUUAAUCGGAAUUACUGGGCGUAAAGCGCGCGUAGGUGGUUUGUUAAGUUGGAUGUGAAAGCCCCGGGCUCAACCUGGGAACUGCAUCCAAAACUGGCAAGCUAGAGUACGGUAGAGGGUGGUGGAAUUUCCUGUGUAGCGGUGAAAUGCGUAGAUAUAGGAAGGAACACCAGUGGCGAAGGCGACCACCUGGACUGAUACUGACACUGAGGUGCGAAAGCGUGGGGAGCAAACAGGAUUA
rnacentral:rRNA from 1 species